GGAAAGAUGGCAGAGUGGUCGAUUGCGGCGGUCUUGAAAACCGUUGAACCGAGAGGUUCCCGGGGUUCGAAUCCCUGUCUUUCCG
rnacentral:tRNA from 30 species